rnacentral:rRNA from 1 species
AUUGAACGCUGGCGGCAUGCUUUACACAUGCAAGUCGAACGGUAACAGGCCGCAAGGUGCUGACGAGUGGCGAACGGGUGAGUAAUGCAUCGGAACGUGCCCAGUCGUGGGGGAUAACGCGGCGAAAGCUGCGCUAAUACCGCAUACGAUCUAUGGAUGAAAGCGGGGGACCGAAAGGCCUCGCGCGAUUGGAGCGGCCGAUGUCAGAUUAGGUAGUUGGUGGGGUAAAGGCCCACCAAGCCAACGAUCUGUAGCUGGUCUGAGAGGACGACCAGCCACACUGGGACUGAGACACGGCCCAGACUCCUACGGGAGGCAGCAGUGGGGAAUUUUGGACAAUGGGCGCAGGCCUGAUCCAGCAAUGCCGCGUGCAGGAAGAAGGCCUUCGGGUUGUAAACUGCUUUUGUAUGGAACGAAACGGUCCGGGUUAAUACCCUGGGCUAAUGACGGUACCGUAAGAAUAAGCACCGGCUAACUACGUGCCAGCCGCCGCGGUAAUAC